rnacentral:tRNA from 1 species
UCCUCGUUAGUUCAGUUGGAAGAGCGCUCCACUGGAAAUGGACAGCUCCCUUAUUCGAUACCAGGACAAGGCG